GUGUCAGCCGCCGCGGUAAAACGUAGGAGGCGAGCGUUAUCCGGAUUCACUGGGCGUAAAGCGCGUGUAGGUGGCUCGUUAAGUCGCUGGUGAAAGCCCCUGGCUCAACUGGGGGAGGUCUAGCGAAACUGGCGGACUCGAGGGUCCGAGAGGAAGGUGGAAUUCCCGGUGUAGCGGUGGAAUGCGUAGAGAUCGGGAGGAACACCAGUGGCGAAGGCGGCCUUCUGGCGGGCAUCUGACACUGAGACGCGAAAGCGUGGGGAGCAAACGGGAUUAGAUACCCCGGUAGUCCACGCCCUAAACGAUGCAGGCUAGGUGUUGGUGGGAUUUCCCAUCCGUGCCGUAGCGAACGCGUUAAGCCUGCCGCCUGGGGACUACGAGCGCAAGCUUAAA
rnacentral:rRNA from 1 species